rnacentral:tRNA from 1 species
AUUUAAAUAGUUUAUAAAAACAUUACAUUUUCAUUGUAAAAUUAAGAUAUUUUCUUUUUAAAUA